CGCGUAACAACACAUUUUAAGUUGCUCUUUUCUUUUAACGAAGAAAAACGAAAUAGGGAAAAUUGUGGCAGUGCGUUCGGAAAGAAUCCAUUUUCAUUGCAUUUAAAAAGGUAAGCAUGCUAAAACCUUACAUGUACCAUUAAUAUUUAUUUUUGUAAAUCAUAUUACAAGAAAAAAAUACAAGAAACAGCAAGCUGAAAAUACAUAGAUAAAAAAGAUCAAAUCACAACUGCUUUCCAGAGCGGCUCCAUUAUGCCCCAGAUUAUGAUCCCACUUUGCUGUAUGUUUAUGGUCACAUUAUUUUAAUCUGUGAAAAAAAGGAGGAUCGCGGAGUCUCAGCAGGUUAAAACUCAUUGGUGUCCAGUAGAGGGCGAGCGUGUGCCUUCUUGUGGUAGUAUGUGCGUGAAGGAGUGGGUCUUCACUUUUUUUUCCAUUCUAGUCUCCAGUACACUUGGUCCUCCAGUUUCCCCUUCACAAUUUUAUUCAGCUGUACAAUGGAGACAAAAUGUCAUUAGAAAUGUAUAAAAUUUUGGUUUAGUGCAAACCUUUUGUUGAACAAUGAUGAGAAUAAGGCAGAUUCUCUGUAUUAAUUUUGCUUAUGCUAUAUACUAUCUGCACGGAAAACAUCUACACUCUACUUCCCUUGAACUCUUUCUAUCUGUUUCUCUUCUGUACCAAUGAAACGCCUAGAUAGUCACAGGAAAGUGGUGCAAAGUAGGAACUUUAAACAAACAGGCAUAAAUACACCAAUAUAUGCUUUUGCAAAAUACCUCCCAAUUUAAUUUAUCAAAUAAACUACUAAUUAGCUACACAUGCUAAAAUAUACUCAAUUAAAACUUAUUUUGUAUUUGGAAACAUUUUUAGAGUAGCCCACAUUUAUAUUGCAGAUAUGUUUCACUUAUUGUAUGUGUAACUAGCUAGCAAGCUUUAAAAACUGGGAACAUUUUAAGACUGGGGAAAACCAGUUAAUACAUGCAGAGUACUGCCACAGCUCUAUGGUGACAGUAGGCCAUGUAAAUUGGUUCCCCAGUAGAGAAAUCUAUCAGUACAAAUAUUUUAACACUCUACUGACUUUGGACAAAAUGUGUCAUCUAAGUGAAAGAAGGAUGGCAUACUCACCUCUUCAAAGAUUUUGUCAGCGGUAUUAGGCUCCUCACAGAACAGUGGUGUUUCAGAGGAGCAUUGAAUCAUCAGGACUAAAGUUGUUUUCUCGGGCUCUAGUGGAAAAAAGGCAGGAAAGUUUGAAGAAUAAAGAACCAUGUACAUCAUUUGAGUUUGAUUAAUCUCUUUAUGGGCAACAUCAAUAUUACAGGACUUCAUGUUUUGGAUAGAUGUAAUGGACAUGUGCUCAUGAGGCUUGUUGUCCAUGGUUGACACCUUUGGGCCAGUAAUAAUUUAUUCUGUGAACUUCAAAGUAUAUAAAACUAUAAAAUAUGAGUCAGCCAGAACGAGUGUGUCUGCAAAGCAGUAACAUGCCUCAAUUAAUUGGACAGCAUACCCAGAUGGGAAGAUAUACGUUACGUAUAUUCUUUGCAUGAGUGACUAUACCAAGACACACAUACCUGUGAGAGCAGAAGUAGAGAUAGAUUCACUGGAAAGGUUGCCUGCCAAGGUUUUUACAUCAAAUUUAUAACUGGUUCCUGAUUUCAACCCUGUGAGCAUCACAUUGUUUUUCUGUACUUCCAUCCUUCCAAUGUGAUUCCAGAAGGCAGCGGUGAACUCCACUCUGUAGGUUACUGGACUGCCUUGCAGCUUCUCUGGGACAUCCCACUCCAGGCUGAUGCUCUGCAUGGUGCUAUUGACAACCUGAAGGUUUUCUGGCUUGAUUGGCACUGAGGAGGGCAACGUUUCACAUGUCAGACCUCGCAAAUGAUGGCGAAGCAAGGAAAAUGCUGGUGGAGUUAAAUGAAAGAACUAAAUGGGAAGGAAUGGGUAUAUAAUUCAAUGGGAGCCUAUCUCAUACGCAGGGCUACAGAAGACAGGUGUGUGAGUUAAAUGCAUAAAGUUAUUUUAUUAUUUUUAGUGGUUGCUUUUUGAAAUUAUUCCAACAUUACUACGUCUUUGUUGUUUGGGAGAUGUAUUAAUUCAUUGAUAUUCAUUUAACUGAAAUACCUUUUAAUAGUGAUGUGCAAAAAUAAAUUUCUCAAUACAAAACCUGUGUAAUAUAAGACCUAUUAGGACCUAGUUAUCCAUACAAUUUUCGCUUAUACAGUGAAAUUAUUGCAUUAUUAAUUAUGGCCAGAGAUGAAUAAUUAAUCCCUCGUCAACCAUGGCCCCCCAUGCUUAACCAUGAAAAUCUGCUUUUGUUUUUUCUGAGUGAAGUUGAUGAGAGAGUGAUUCCUAUACAAAUACAUUAGACUUCCCAAAUAAAUUCCUACAUUGACUAUAAGGAAGGACAUACCUGUAAAGAUAAAUAAAUGUAUUUUGUGUUUGUGUGUGUGUGUGUGUGUGUGCGUGCAUGCGUGCGUGCGUGUUAAAAGAGCCCACAGCUGGAACUCACAGGUAAAUAUCCAUUUGGAUACACCAUCACUCUGCCGGGAUUUCUGCAUCAACUCUGUGUAGAUGGUUACAGUAUAAUUAACAGCUGAAUUCAGGUUUUGAAAUGUGUGAAAUGUUUCAUUGGUGGUGGCCUCAAUGAAAUUUCCUUGUUCGAGCUUGAGUCGAUAGAAGUCAAAGUUUCCAUCUGGGGGAUCCCACCUAGCCAUGAUACAGUCAUUGGAACUGUUCAAAAUCAGAUUUUUCACAGGGGAUGGUUCUGCAGUGGAGAGACAGAAAGAGAGGGGGAGAGAAAUCAAAUGUGAAAUUCCAGUGGCCAUUACAUCACUGCACAUCUGUGAAUGACUAAUCUGUGUACUUGCGUCAUUGUCUUUCAGUCAGUCUUUGAAUCCUAUUGAUCAGUCUCUGUCUGUUUGUACUUGUGUUUAAAUCAGAACUCACUGGAAUAAUACAUGAUUGUAAAAGCCUCUCCCUCCACUGAGUCAUUUGGCCUCGCCCCUGCUCGUGCUGCCACGCUCAGCUGAAACUCUGUGCCCGCAGUGAGAUUUUCCACUGUAAGAUUGGUGCCAACCAAGGUUUGAUUCAAAAGAAUUUUCCUUGUCUUCCCCUGUCGGACAUGUACUCUGUAGCAACAGCUGCUUCCCUCUGGCGGCAUCCAUGUUAACAUGAUGGUAUCCAUAGUGACCUCAUUGGCAGUCAAUUCCCUUACCUUAUCUGGUACUGGAAUAAAGGAAAGAGAAUAAUGACAUUAUGUCAGGGAACACACUUGCAUGCAACAUCAUACUGUACUAAUGUUGACCGGAUUUGGCUUUUAAGUAUAACUGCACAAUGGAUAGUGGAAACCGCCAAGAUCAAAGACAAGCCAAUGAAUGUAAUCAGUCAAUAAAUUUGGAGAUGUAUAUCAUAGAUGUUUUUCAUUUAUAAUUUGGUGUGGAAAGACGUAAAUAUUGCUUAAUAAUAAUAAGGAUGUAAUUAGGAUUUUGAUUUCAUGUUUAGUUAUCCAACUUAUGUUGUAAAAAUCUAUAGCUACUAUUCACAUUCAUUUAAUUGUAUGAUAAAUGAUUACAUUUAUUUUAAUUAUACAGUCUGUAGAAUUUCACAUUUUAGAAAAAGGUAGAUUAAGCACAACAAUUCAACUGCUUUUUAUGGACCAAGGAAAAUACCACAUUUAAACUGCACUGCAGGUUACCCUAAAUAAAAGAUACAAUGUAACUGUAAUAAUGAGACAAUAAAUGUAAAAAGGAAAGUA